rnacentral:rRNA from 1 species
AAAAAUAAUUGAGGAAUAACGUUAAAUGACCCAGAUAUCCAUAAACAUUUGAAAAUGUCCGUUCAUGGAACGACGUGGGAGAUGUUUAUUUUAACACAGUACAGAUGCAUGCGCUCAUAUAUACGCGCAUACACUCAUUUCUAUGAACACAUACGCAUACCCUACCUCUAUGAGUAUCUUCGAGAGACUGAGCUGGCAUAUCAUCUUGAGAUUGACGAAGUCACCAAAGGGGCCUCGUAGUCGAUAGAACGUCUCCUUUCACUAAACGCACAUCGCCGGAAAUGCGAGCAUCAGGACUUAAAUCCUGAUGGGCUUAGAAUACCACUGUCCAACCAUCUAACUACAUGUUGGUUCGCAGCUGGGAGAUGCUCUAGAGGCCGUCUUCACUCGUUCAGCAGCAAGCAGAAUCAUGAGUCAUGAAAAGAUCCGAUCGGAUCGGAGCCGUCCAUUGCCAUCCCCACACAGUCCGUUCAUACCCAUUUCCAUUCCCGUCCGGCCACAGGCUCUGUUCUCCCGUGAUUCCGUCUUCCACCUAUAAAAAUGAGGAGUAUGCACGGAGACGACCACCUCGACUCACCGCCGGCCACGCGCGCUCACCUCCUCCGCACGAGCCGCCCGCCGUCCUCCGCCGUCAGCUUCAACCCCAACAGUGCUCUUACAUCUCUUGUAGCUAGCUGGAAAAGCGAGCUUGCAUGAUGGAGGACUCUUCAACUAGGAGCCAUGUUUCUGAGGGGAAUCGGCUGGGCUAUGUAAGAAGUGAAUCCAUGGAUUCCGCUGGCCAUCCUUCGGCUGCUAGGUCAGGCUCACUGCUAAGCAGGAGAAGUAGCAGGCCCAGUUCAAGGGGAUCCAUCAGCCUCUCUCGUGAGAUGGGCGACUCGAUCCUGAACUCAAUGAGGCAUUCCCUUCAGUCAGCAGACCAGUUGCUAGGUGAUGCUGAUAGCUCGGCUUUGGCUCAGGUCAUUGACAGUGGUGACCGAGUGCUAGCCUUGGAAGAUGAGGCCGAUGAAGAUAUGGCAAAUACAUUGGAUCAACAUAAGUUCGGUCCUGUCCGAGAUAAUCGAAUCCAUGGCUACAGCUCACAUGUCACAGGUCUGCCAGCACCUGAGUCUUCUCUGGAGCCAAAGGGCGAGAGCUCAUCAGGCAAGGUUGAACAAUAUGUGCUUUCUCGGAGGCUAGAUUAUGCUUCUUACCUGAUCCAUUUAGCUGCCUUUGGAUUAUUUGGGGUAUUUACAAGGUAUGGGCUCCAAAAGCUGUUCGGCCCAGGCUGCCUGGCACUCACCUCCAACCAAAGCCCGUUGUACCUUGAUCUUCCAUCAAACAUGCUAGGAUCCUUCCUGAUGGCCUGGUUUGGGAUCAUCUUUAAGACAGACAUUCGGCACAUAUCUGAACAUCUCAUUGUUGGAAUCACAACCGGAUACAUGGGAAGCCUUACCACCUUCAGUGGGUGGAAUCAAGCGAUGGUUAGCAUGUCUUCCAAAGACCAUUGGGCAUAUGCCAUAGCUGGCAUAGUAUUAGGUACCUCAUCAUAAUUUUCUAUAAAGUGCUAUUAGUCCAGAAUUAGUUACGCUAAAUAUAGACACAAGGGAAAUCAUUCUUUUGAUGAUUAACAACACUAACCUAAUCAGGAAUGUUCAUCGUCAAUGAGUCCAUCAGGGUGGGCGCCGAAACAGGUGAGCGCCUACGAAGCUGGAUCCUGAAAUGCAUCAAGGAAAAUAGUUCAAUAGGAAGCACAUGUAACUGGGAGCACCUGAAAGUCAACACUAGGACUAAACAUUUUGUGCUUAUAGCAGUUAUGAUGAUUUUGCUUUCUUUUGUGUGGGUUCUGAGCAUCGUGUUGGCCAUAAUAAAGGUGCGCAAUCUUGAUGAUGGCGCUGUACUAUGGUUGGGGUGCUCGGUUGCGCCUCCGGGCGUUUGGUUACGCUGGUACUUGGCAAGGCUCAAUGGCCAGGGAAUCGGCAAACAGAGAUCCCUCAAAUGGCUGCCCAUUGGGACACUUGUAGCCAAUGUUCUUGCUGCAGGUAUCAUGGCAUCACUGGCUGUGACCGCCAAAGCGGUGAAUACAAAGCAUUCGACAACUGUUCUUAAUGGCAUACAGUUUGGUUUCCUCGGCUGCUUGAGCACAGUGUCUACUUUUGCUGCUGAAAUCUACGCUAUGCGAAGCAGCGGACAGGUUGGUAGAGCCUUUGUCUAUGCUGCAGCGACCUUCGUGCUCUCUUUCGUGCUGGGAACUCUGGUAUACUCUGUGCCAGUAUGGGUCAAGCAUUACCAAUAGCUUCAUGAAGUAUUGCAGACUUGAAGGCUUUGGCGUCAUUUUGCUGGUUGCAACAUCCAAGCAGAUAGCGCAAUUCUCAGCAUACAUAGUUAGACUUUUCUAGGGAAUUUUAUCUGCUUCUUUAAGAUAUUUGAUGUAUGUUGUUGAACAUGAUGGCGUUCUGCAGCAGAAACAUGUUUGUACACAACAUCUGCCAUUGUAAUCCUGUGAACAACAACAUCCAUAUUUAUGGAGUAUGUAUAUGAAAUGUUACAGUUUAU